AUAUUGUCUAGAUGACAAUAUUUGUAUUUAAACUCACAGUUUAUAUGUUUUAUUAAUAAAGUUGUAGUUGUUUCUGUACCAUGUUAUUGGCGACUCAAAAUAGGUGUUGUAUACCUAUUUUGGGGGCGUCAUAGUCAUAAUCAUACCAAAAACUAUCCAUAAAUGCAUUACAGGCCACUGAGGACUUUUAUCACAUUAUUUAUAACAUUACAGGUCAUGAUUACACCGAAUGAUCCCUGGUCAUAAUCAUACUAAGUCCAUCUAUGCACGUAAGCCAAAGAUGACUUUCAACACAAUAUAAACA
rnacentral:lncRNA from 1 species